GCCAGCUCUACUUUACCAUGUUAAUCCUACGAGGAUGCUGAGUGAGGUAUAAUAUUUGGGAAAUUAGUAAAGGUUUUAUCUAUUUCUUCGGUUUCAAAAGCACUUAUUUCAAUACCAGAACCCUGAAUUUUUUUGUUCACGUUUGCAAUCACUUCAGUGGGCGUGAUGGCUCAGAUUCUCAAAAGAUGAGCAGCAGGAGAAAAUUGGACCAGAAAUAUAAGUGAAUUUCCAGGGUUUCCAAGACCCGAACUAUGGUCAUCAAAACUGGAGUGUCUGGAGUCAUUAGCCUAGCAAUACGUUUUUCAUAUGAACUGAUAUUUGCUUACAGCUUAAGGUGUUUGUAUUGAUUGUUGGAUUGGUACAUAUUAUGAAUGUAUGUAAA